GAUGAACGCUGGCGGCGUGCCUAAUACAUGCAAGUCGAGCGAACAGACGAGGAGCUUGCUCCUCUGACGUUAGCGGCGGACGGGUGAGUAACACGUGGAUAACCUACCUAUAAGACUGGGAUAACUUCGGGAAACCGGAGCUAAUACCGGAUAACAUGUUGAACCGCAUGGUUCAACAGUGAAAGACGGUCUUGCUGUCACUUAUAGAUGGAUCCGCGCCGCAUUAGCUAGUUGGUAAGGUAACGGCUUACCAAGGCAACGAUGCGUAGCCGACCUGAGAGGGUGAUCGGCCACACUGGAACUGAGACACGGUCAAGACUCCUACGGGAGGCAGCAGUAGGGAAUCGUCCGCAAUGGGCGAAAGCCUGACGGAGCAACGCCGCGUGAGUGAAGAAGGUCUUCGGAUCGUAAAACUCUGUUAUUAGGGAAGAACAAAUGUGUAAGUAACUAUGCACGUCUUGACGGUACCUAAUCAGAAAGCCACGGCUAACUACGUG
rnacentral:rRNA from 1 species